UACGUAGGGUGCGAGCGUUGUCCGGAAUUACUGGGCGUAAAGCGCACGUAGGCGGUCUUUUAAGUCGGGGGUGAAAUCCUGGAGCUCAACUCCAGAACUGCCUUCGAUACUGGAAGACUUGAGUCCGGGAGAGGUGAGUGGAACUGCGAGUGUAGAGGUGAAAUUCGUAGAUAUUCGCAAGAACACCAGUGGCGAAGGCGGCUCACUGGCCCGGUACUGACGCUGAGGUGCGAAAGCGUGGGGAGCAAACAGG
rnacentral:rRNA from 1 species